rnacentral:rRNA from 1 species
UACGUAGGUGGCGAGCGUUGUCCGGAAUUACUGGGUGUAAAGGGCGUGUAGGCGGGAAUGCAAGUCAGAUGUGAAAGCCCAUGGCUCAACUGUGGGACUGCAUCUGAAACUGUAUUUCUUGAGUGCUGGAGAGGAAAGCGGAAUUCCUAGUGUAGCGGUGAAAUGCGUAGAUAUUAGGAGGAACACCAGUGGCGAAGGCGGCUUUCUGGACAGUAACUGACGCUGAGGCGCGAAAGCGUGGGGAG